AUGGACUUUUUUUCAUCUUUGUGGGGUUCACUUAGAAACAUGUUGUCAUCUCCAACAGUUGAAAAUGUGAGGAUAUCUCAAAGCAUCCCUCCUAUUCGGUUUGUGAAGCCACCAUUUGAACCGAGGCCCCUCAUUCUGUUAGAGAGGGCAGAUUUAAAUGCAUCACAGGUGCCUGGAAGUGUCUCUGGGCUGGAGAUGCCGUCAGGAAAUGCGAGGAUAUCUCAAAACAUCCCUCCUAUUCGGUGUGUGCAGUCACCCGUUGAACCGAGGCCCCUCUCCUUAUUCGAUGUGGCAGGUUUAAAUGCAUCACAGGUGCCUGGAAGUGUUUCUGGGCUGGAGAUGCGGUCCAGACCUUCUCAUGUUCGAGUGGCGGUCAGGGAGGAAAAGCUGGGAUCAUUCAAAUCACAAGUUGAGGCACUUCAGUUGGAAUUAGAAGAUACGAAGGCUGAGAACUCCAGGCUUAUAUCUGAUGUAAGCAGGCUUCAGUUGGAGGUGAAAGAUAUGAAGGCCAAAGAGAAGAUUCUGAAUGACCAGGUAAAAAAUCUCAUUGCUGAAGGGUCCCAAUGCAAGAGUCUGAAUAAGGAAUACCAAGCAGAGAUACAAGAGCUGAGAGCAUUGGUGUAUGACCUUAAAUGUGGUGCAGAGCAGACUCAACAAACGCACACCAGUGAGCUGCCUGAACUUGAACUCCUUGAACGGACGAUGCAGGACAAAGACUUUCUGGAAGCAGUGCAGGAACUGCAGGACCGUGCAAACACUCUGAACAUGCAGAAUAAGUACAUUUCUGAGCAGAAGACCCAGCUUGAAUCUACCCUGAAUGAAAAAGAGGCAGAGAAUGCAAAUCUGAGAGCAGAAGUUCAAGUUCUGCAGGUAAAUCAGACAAGAACACGUGAGUGGAUCCAGAGUCUGACUGCUGAGGUGGGCCAACUUGAAUCUCUGACAGAACUGGUGGAAGCAGAGAUUGACAGACUGAAUGUGGCAUUGCGGAGUCUUCAGAACAAAGAGGCGUUUCUGAACGAGCAGGUCAGCUGUCUCACUGCUAAGGGGGAAUACCUUGAAGGUGUAAAUGAGAAAAAACAAGCAGAGAUUGAACAGCUGAUGGCCACAGCGCGUCAUCUUAAGGAAAAUGAAGACUCUCUUAGGCAGCAGCAUGACAGCCUGGCCGAAGAGCUUUCUCAACAUAAGUCUCUGACUAAGAUCCAAAACGAAAAGAACAAAAACCUGAAGAAGGCUCUGGAUGGGCUUCAGCACCUACUGAAUGGGGCUAAGCAACAAAUCUUUGAUCAAGAUGAGCUCAUAAAAAAGCAAAAGCGUCAAACUGAGUAUAAUCAGCAACUGGUAGAGGAGCUUUACACUGAAACAACCGAUGUGAAACAAACAAUCUGUGAAGUUAACCACCAGCUGGAGAAAAGGCCGGAAGAAGAGGUGCUGGCCGGUGUUGAGACUAUCAGUCAGGAAUUUAGGGUUUUGGCUGAAAAUACAGAAAAACCAGGCCCAUCUGAGAGUCUGAGAGAUGAAGACCUCCUGGAGAGUCCAGCUGCAGAACCCCGAGCUGCUGAGGUUCAGAUCAGUAGUUGA
ensembl:lncRNA